rnacentral:rRNA from 1 species
GUGGAAUGCUCCCCACACCUAGCGCCCAACGUUUACGGCGUGGACUACCAGGGUAUCUAAUCCUGUUCGCUCCCCACGCUUUCGCUCCUCAGCGUCAGUAUCGGCCCAGAGACCCGCCUUCGCCACCGGUGUUCCUCCUGAUAUCUGCGCAUUUCACCGCUACACCAGGAAUUCCAGUCUCCCCUACCGAACUCAAGUCUGCCCGUAUCGACCGCAGGCCCAGAGUUAAGCCCCAGGUUUUCACGGCCGACGCGACAAACCGCCUACGAGCUCUUUACGCCCAAUAAUUCCGGACAACGCUCGCACCCUACGUGUUACCGCGGCUGCUGGCACGUAGUUGGCCGGGGCUUCUUCUGCAGGUACCGUCAUUUUCGCUUCUUCCCUGCUGAAAGCGGUUUACAACCCGAAGGCCGUCAUCCCGCACGCUGCGUCGCUGCAUCAGGGUUUCCCCCAUUGUGCAAUAUUCCCCACUGCUGCCUCCCGUAGGAGUCUGGGCCGUGUCUCAGUCCCAGUGUGGCCGGUCACCCUCUCAGGCCGGCUACCCGU